rnacentral:rRNA from 1 species
AGAAUCAACGCUGGCGGCGUGCCUAACACAUGCAAGUCGAACGAGAAAGUGGAGCAAUCCAUGAGUAAAGUGGCGACCGGGUGAGUAACACGUGACUAACCUACCUUCGAGUGGGGGAUAACCUCGGGAAACCGGGGCUAAUACCGCAUAACAUCUUUGAAGUGGAAAUUUCGGAGAUCAAAGGAGCAAUUCGCUGGAAGAGGGGGUCGCGGCUGAUUAGCUAGUUGGCGGGGUAACGCCCACCAAGGCUUAGAUCGGUA